UACAGAGGGGGCAAGCGUUAUUCGGAAUUAUUGGGCGUAAAGGGCGCGUAGGCGGCCUGGCAAGUGGAAGGUGAAAUCCCUCGGCUUAACCGAGGAACUGCCUGUCAGACUGGAAGGCUUGAGACCGGGAGAGGUGAGUGGAAUUCCCAGUGUAGCGGUGAAAUGCGUAGAUAUUGGGAGGAACACCAGUGGCGAAGGCGGCUCACUGGACCGGUACUGACGCUGAGGCGCGAAAGCGUGGGGAGCAAACAGG
rnacentral:rRNA from 1 species